rnacentral:rRNA from 1 species
CUCAAAGUUGGAACCUGUUUGGCCUAGCUAAACAGGAUUGUAAACUGUAGAAGUGUUUUCCAGGCAAUCCGAGUUAAUAAGUCCUUUGGAACAGGGCAUCAUAGAGGGUGAGAAUCCCGUCUUUGAUUCGAGAAUUUUUUGCCUUUUGCGAUACACUUUCAAAGAGUCAGGUUGUUUGGGAAUGCAGCCUAAAUUGGGUGGUAAAUCUCACCUAAAGCUAAAUAUUGGCGAGAAACCGAUAGCGAACAAGUACCGUGAGGGAAAGAUGAAAAGAACUUUGAAAAGAGAGUUAAACAGUAUGUGAAAUUGUUAAAAGGGAACCGUUUGGAGCCAGACUGGCUUGUCUGUAAUCAAUCUAGGCUUUGGCCUGGAUGCACUUGCAGACUAUGCCUGCCAACGACAAUUUGAUUUGAGGGAAAAAACUAGAGGAAAUGUGGCCAGCUUUUUUUUGUUGGUGUUAUAGUCCUUUAGAAAAUACCUUGGAUUGGAUUGAGGAACGCAGCGAAUGCUCUUGUGGCGAGUCUUUGAUAAGUCUUUACAGAUAUGACUGGGUGUUAAAAAACCCAGAACUUGAAGUUUAAACUUGUUUU